UUGACUCUCUCUCUGUCUCUCUCACUCACCGAAUCUGCUUCCUUCUCUCAACAAAACCUAGCCUCCAAUGCCACUUUCUUCUUCAAGCUGUGUCACCGCCACCGCACUACCGCCGCCGUCCGCACUGCACCCAUGGUCGUCGAAACGCGUCUGCUCGCCUCGCUUUCCCGUCAGUUUUGAGCUUUCGCGUCUGUUCUGAGCUUCCGCCACCUCUGUAUCGCCGUGCUUCCGCCGCGGUGCUCCCUCUUCGUCACUUGGUCGAGCUUGCCUCAAGCCCUUUUUUUUGCUCCAGCCUGCUGUUAUCACCAUGCUUCGGCCUCUGUUUUGGCUGAGCUUACGCCAGUGCUCAGCCCUGAUCUGAGCUCCCUCUCCCUCAUCUGAAAUGCUGAAUCUCUGUUGUUCAUGGUUUUUUUUAAAUGUUGAUUGCUAGCAUCCUGAAAUCUUGAAGCAAGAAGUAAUGUUUCCAAAACCUGAUAGUUAUGAGCCAACCAUAGAAGGAGCUUUACCAACAAAUAAUAUCUGUUCAAUUUUUAUUAAUGGAACCUGCAGACUUGAGUCUAUGGAUAUCUCUGAUUUAGCAGAAAUCAUAUCUUUUCUUUUCACAUACCAGAACUCUAUUGGAAACAACAAUAAUCAUAUUGUACCCUUAAAAAUUGCUAUUACAAUCUGUUGACUGCUUACAUGAAGUAUCUGUCUCUGGUUGCACAUUUACUUUGUGCUUGAGUCUUGUUCAAAAUACCUCGUGUUCAAGAAAUGAGUUCAAACAAUUGGUAGCUCAGAUGCUAAUGGUCA